AGUGAACGCUGGCGGUAGGCCUAACACAUGCAAGUCGAACGGCAGCACAGUAAGAGCUUGCUCUUACGGGUGGCGAGUGGCGGACGGGUGAGGAAUACAUCGGAAUCUACUUUUUCGUGGGGGAUAACGUAGGGAAACUUACGCUAAUACCGCAUACGACCUACGGGUGAAAGCAGUGGAUCUUCGGACCUUGCGCGAUUGAAUUAGCCGAUGUCGGAUUAGCUAGUUGGCGGGGUAAAGGCCCACCAAGGCGACGAUCCGUAGCUGGUCUGAGAGGAUGAUCAGACACACUGGAACUGAGACACGGUCCAGACUCCUACGGGAGGCAGCAGUGGGGAAUAUUGGACAAUGGGCGCAAGCCUGAUCCAGCCAUACCGCGUGGGUGAAGAAGGCCUUCGGGUUGUAAAGCCCUUUUGUUGGGAAAGAAAAGCAGCAGGUUAAUACCCCGCUGUUCUGACGGUACCCAAAGAAUAAGCACCGGCUAACUUCGUG
rnacentral:rRNA from 1 species